UGGAUCCAGACUUUGAUUAUGGCUCAGGAUGAACGCUAGCUACAGGCUUAACACAUGCAAGUCGAAGGGAAACGGCAUCGAAAGCUUGCUUUUGAUGGGCGUCGACCGGCGCACGGGUGAGUAACGCGUAUCCAACCUGCCCACCACUUGGGGAUAACCUUGCGAAAGUAAGACUAAUACCCAAUGACGUCUCUAGAAGACAUCUGAAAGAGAUUAAGGAUUUAUCGGUGAUGGAUGGGGAUGCGUCUGAUUAGCUCGUUGGCGGGGUAACGGCCCACCAAGGCGACGAUCAGUAGGGGUUCUGAGAGGAAGGUCCCCCACAUUGGAACUGAGACACGGUCCAAACUCCUACGGGAGGCAGCAGUGAGGAAUAUUGGUCAAUGGGCGAGAGCCUGAACCAGCCAAGUAGCGUGCAGGAUGACGGCCCUAUGGGUUGUAAACUGCUUUUACAAGGGAAUAAAGUGAGUCUCGUGAGACUUUUUGCAUGUACCUUAUGAAUAAGGACCGGCUAAUUCCGUGCCAGCAGCCGCGGUAAUACGGAAGGUCCGGGCGUUAUCCGGAUUUAUUGGGUUUAAAGGGAGCGUAGGCCGGAGAUUAAGCGUGUUGUGAAAUGUAGACGCUCAACGUCUGCACUGCAGCGCGAACUGGUUUCCUGGAGUACGCACAAAGUGGGCGGAAUUCGUGGUGUAGCGGUGAAAUGCUUAGAUAUCACGAAGAACUCCGAUUGCGAAGGCAGCUCACUGGAGCGCAACUGACGCUGAAGCUCGAAAGUGCGGGUAUCGAACAGGAUUAGAUACCCUGGUAGUCCGCACGGUAAACGAUGGAUGCCCGCUGUUGGUCUGAACAGGUCAGCGGCCAAGCGAAAGCAUUAAGCAUCCCACCUGGGGAGUACGCCGGCAACGGUGCAACUCAAAUGAAUUGACGGA
rnacentral:rRNA from 1 species